AACGCGAAGAACCUUACCUGGGCUCGAAAUGUAGUGGACCGGGGUAGAAAUAUCCCUUCCCCGCAAGGGGCCGCUAUAUAGGUGCUGCAUGGCUGUCGUCAGCUCGUGUCGUGAGAUGUUGGGUUAAGUCCCGCAACGAGCGCAACCCUUAUCUCCAGUUGCUACCAUUUAGUUGAGCACUCUGGCGAAACCGCCUCGGAUAACGGGGAGGAAGGUGGGGAUGACGUCAAGUCCUCAUGGCCUUUAUGUCCAGGGCUACACACGUGCUACAAUGGCCGGUACAAACCGUCGCAAACCCGCGAGGGGGAGCUAAUCGGAAAAAGCCGGCCUCAGUUCGGAUCGCAGUCUGCAACUCGACUGCGUGAAGCUGGAAUCGCUAGUAAUCGCGGAUCAGAACGCCGCGGUGAAUACGUUCCCGGGCCUUGUACACACCGACAUA
rnacentral:rRNA from 1 species